rnacentral:rRNA from 1 species
GCGUCUUCGGCGUCCGCUUUGUAAUCUCAAGAAGUGUUUUCCGCUUCGGACCAUGCCUAAGUCCCUUGGAAAAGGGCAUCAUAGAGGGUGAUAAUCCCGUACAUGGCAUGGAGCGCCCGAAGCUUUGUGAUACGCUUUCUAAGAGUCGAGUUGUUUGGGAAUGCAGCUCAAAAUGGGUGGUAAAUGCCAUCUAAGGCUAAAUAUUGGGGAGAGACCGAUAGCGAACAAGUACAGUGAUGGAAAGAUGAAAAGAACUUUGAAAAGAGAGUUAAACAGUACGUGAAAUUGCCAAAAGGGAAGGGUAGGAGGUCAGAGAUGCGGCCUGGGAUUCAGCCUUGCUUUUGCUUGGUGUUUUUCCCAGAUUGCAGGCCAACGUCGGUUUUGGGCACUGGAGAAGGGUAGGAGGAACGUGGCACCUCUCGGGGUGUGUUAUAGCCUCCUACUGGAUACAGCGACCGAGACCGAGGACAGCAGCGUACUCGCAAGAGCGGGCCUUCGGGCACCUUUACGCUUAGGGCGUUGGCAUAAUGGCCCUCUACCACC